GAAAUGAUGAAGCAGUGUCCCAAGGGACAACGUGGGAUCAAGAACACAGGAGACAGGCCUCCUCCAUUCCAAAGUUGCUCAUCCUAAAACCUGAAAAAAAAAUGACUCAGAAGUCGUUCCCAUCUCAAGAACUACCCACGAGUCUCAGCAGACACAUUCCCCGAUGUGGCUUUCCAAUCCAGCAGAGGUUCCAACCAACUUCCAAACAGGUGCAACUUGAUAGCACCUCAUCUUUGGCUGUACCAGAUGCCUUCUAUCUCUGGACUCCUGCCCUCAGACUUCUCCGACACCUGAAGGAAGCUUCUGGGACAGCUGACAUGCACAACCUGGGAGCUAAAACAUGUGGGACCAGCUGUGACCAAUGAACAAUGAUGGACAGGAGACGAUAACCCCACUAGUUCCUUACAGUGCUGAGAUAAAUUUCAUGAGUCUCCUAGAAGAUCUGAUGGGAUCGAACAUCAGUUGUCCCUAGAAUGACCGCUGUACUGGCUUUCCUUCCUUCCCUAUUUCAUCCCCCCUCGUCCCUCCUACACCUUGGGAUCACAUUGACAAAUAAGUCUCUUUCAUGCAAUUCCCUAUUUCAAGCUCUAUAUUCAGUUAGCAGACGGCAGAAAUGUGGUCCAAAGCAGGAGAGGACUCAGCAGCAGCAGGCUGUGACAAUCUGCCUUGUCACUCAAGCCAUGUGAAUGAGAAGAUCCAGUGGUGGCUGGUUGAAUGCAUGACUCCCCUGUGGAUGUCAGCCAGAGUCUUCUUCUCAGACACCCAGUGCUAGCACAAUGGCCCCAUGGAUGAGAUGGCUCAGGUGGCAGGAUAAAGGCUGUAUGUGGGCUCGGCAUUGUGGGCUUUCUCUUAGCAAUGACCUAGCUAUUACCACUGCUGAAUGGUCCAGCCAACCAAUAGCAGAGGGACAUGCCAAUCUCUAUAGCACCUUCACCAAUAUCAGCCAGGCCCUUGGGGAAAGGCUGAUCAUAACAGACCACUUCCACCCCAAAAAGGAGAGGGGAGAUAGAAAUUCAUGCUUACAUAAAUUGACAUGUACUCCAGUUUUGGGUUUGCUUUCUCUGCCUUUAGGGUCUCUGCAAGUGCCACUAUUUGAGAACAUAAGAAUGCCUAAUCUACCAGUGUAGUAUCCCACACAACAUUGCUUCAGACCCAGGGAUUGAUAUAUGUCAAAGGAGGUGCAGCAAUGAGUGUAUGAGUAGGGACUCCAUGAGUUUUCUCAUAUACCUCCUCAUUCACAAGCAUCCAGCUUAACUGAAGACUGGAUUGGCCUGUUAAAGGCUUAGUUAGGAGACUAGCCUGAGAAACACAAUCUGCGAUUCCAGUAUCACCUUGAUUCACGCCCCAGCCCUGGAAUUUCUGCAAGGAAGCUUGGUUUUUUGGUUUUGUUUUCGAGGGGUUUUUUAGUGAAGAAUGGUGUCAAAAUCUGCGUACCAGGUGUUCUCAUUGUUAUUGGGAUAUCAUUUCUUCUUGGUCCUUUUAACAGGCAGAGCUAGGAAAUAUAUGACUGUAUGUAUACCUAUACAUAUAUAUGUCUUCACACAUAUUUAUAAAUAUACAUAUACAUACAUCUGCACAUAAACACACAUAUAUGCAUUCACUCUUGCAUAUUUUAGAAAUCAUAAAUUCAAUUCACACCAAUAUGCCAAUUCCAGUCCACUCCAUAGGGCUAUUUCUGCCUUUUCUCAUUUGUUCAACCUUAUUACACACCUAAAAAGGGUUUCGAGAUUGCUUCAUCCAUACUACUGCAUGGUUCUCAUCUUAAGAGUGAUGAAACGUUGCUCCAAAGCUACCCGGCAGGAUUACACUCCUCUUAUUUGUGAGAAAUGUAUCACAUACCCAUGGCUGAACCAGUCUCUAGCAAAGGAGACAGGGGACCAUCAUGAUUGGUUUAGACCCAUCAUUCUCCGCCAUCCCCACCACCCCUGGGACCAGACGCCAGGGCCCCCUCUCAAACACACCAUCCCAUGGAGGAGGGUGAGCCGCCUGAAGAUAAUAAGGUUUCUCAUAGGAAGAAGGAAUGCAGGCUACAGAACAUGGUUAUGGGAAAGGCAACAAACUAUCUCCUAUAUUAACCCACAAUCCAGAGUGGAAUAGGCAACAUAAAACUUCUGAAAUUAUAUAUAAAAUGUUCUUUGCGUGUACACACGUGAGAGGAGAAAAUCCUCAGUCAUCAUUUUCUCAGAGGGCUCAGUGACCCAAGAAAAGUUUAGAACCAUUUUCAUUUUAAACAAACACAGAUUUCAAUCUUAAGUUGAACAAGAACAAGAGGUUUCCAGGAACUUAAACCCUAAUUCAGAAAAUACAAGUGUUUUCGCAAUCUCAUUUAUUACACUCUGCUUCGAGGGCAGGAAUCAGAAGACUGCACAGGCUUUGUCAAAAUACAAAUGUUUGUCUCAAUUUCAGUCCUCUUUGAGCUUGUUCCUAGAGCCUGACUUUUCAGGCUUCUAAGGCAAUUAAGGGGCACUGAAUCCUCAGCGAAUUAGACAUGCUGCCUUUUAAAUUCUCAUUCUUCUAAAGAAAAAAGGGGAUGGAGCAGGAGUCCCUGAAGGAAUAAAGGAAACAGAAGUGCAAACUGCCAUAAAGAAGAAGUGAAUCCAUGGCUUAGGAGCUAAAGAGCAAAUGUCAAGGCAGCUUGUCAGUUUCAAUGUGCCCUUGGGAUUUCAUCCCGUUGGCCCCAAAUGCAGCAUUCAGGGUCCUAGAAGUAUUACCACCAUCUGGAACAGCUGUGGUCAUAGAAAGAGAUCAACUUGUCCAGAGCUUUAAUCCUCUAGGGCUUCUUCAACAGUUCUAUUUAAUCUAUCUGAAAAGGCUUAGUACAAAAGCAUCUACUGCAGCCAUUAUGCAGGGUAAGAAGGAGAGAGGGAGCAUUAAAAAGCAUGUGCUUUUGGGUGUGGCUCUUACAUUUUUGCCAGGCAGACAACUGCUGUUCGGGCAGAGAUGAAUGCAUGGAAUCUAGAAGAUUUUACUCAGCCACCUCAGUCAAAAAGUGGCCCUAUAAAACGAUCAUCCAAAUGAAAGACUUUUGAGAGUAAAAGAGGAUACUAUUAAAGAUUAAACCAAGACAAAAGCCACGAAGCAGGGCAGUCUCAGCCAACCUAUGACAUCCUCAUCAAUCAGUACUUUAUAUUACUCUCCUCUGCUCUGGUCUCUGUCAUUGACUCAGCACUUUGCAUAUGCCCAACAUUGUGUUAGUAUCAUAGAGAAUAUGCAAAAUUAAUUAAAAUGAAAUAGCAUACCAUAAAUACCGUAACACACCAAAACAUGUAGUCCUUGCCCAUACGGAGCCAGCUCUUCACAUUAACAUUACUCUGGCCGCCUUGAGCAAUAGCCAUUUGGCUAGCCCUAAAAUUAAAAUUAACUGAUGUUUACUCUGAGCUAAGGCAUUAGGAGCAUUUAUUUGCAUGCUUUGGUUUUUAAAUCUUUGAUUCAGAAUAUGUCCAAGUGACUCAUUAGUCUAUUUUGGUCUUGGGCAUUAAGCUGCAUUCAGAAAGUCUGGCUUACGAUCACACAUACCAGGGUAGAGGGAGGCUCUCCUAAGAAACCACUGGAACAUCUGACAGAGGUGAUGAAACCAAACAGAUCUGAUCAAUAACACCUUGAAAAUAGAUAUAUUGAACGCUGAACAUAUUUUUACAUUUUAAGUCAACUCCAAAGUGUCUCCUGGAUCAAUAAUCAUUGAUGUACAUUAACUGCCAUUCUCUAGUCCUCUUAGCUAAAAACAUUUCAAACCUAGGACUCCCAAUUUCUUGCACUUUUCAACACUGGAGGGGGACAAAAGUAAUUUUACCACUGAUGCUUAAAAAAAAAUGUACUUUUAAAAAUAAAUACCAUAAUUUCCUAAGUUCAAAAAGAAGAUAUUUAUCAUAAAAUUUAGAAAAUAAAGAAAGGUAUAAGGAAGAAAGCUGAAAUUACCCAAAUUCCACUAACCAGGCAAAACUGCUAUUAGUAUUUUGAUGUAUUACUUUACAGCCA